rnacentral:rRNA from 1 species
AAUGGACGAAAGUCUGAACCAGCCAUGCCGCGUGCAGGAGGACUGCCUAUGGGUUGUAAACUGCUUUUAUUUGGGAAGAACCUCUCUACGUGUAGAGGGCUGACGGUACCAAACGGAUAAGGACCGGCUAACUCCGUGCCAGCAGCCGCGGUAAUACGGAGGGUCCAAGCGUUAUCCGGAUUUAUUGGGUUUAAAGGGUUCGUAGGCGGGAUAUUAAGUCAGUGGUGAAAACCUGCAGCUCAACUGCAGACCUGCCAUUGAUACUGGUAUUCUUGAAUCUAGUUGAGGUAGGCGGAAUGUGUCAUGUAGCGGUGAAAUGCAUAGAUAUGACACAGAACACCGAUUGCGAAGGCAGCUUACUAAACUAGUAUUGACGCUAAUGAACGAAAGCGUGGGGAGCGAACAGGAUU